rnacentral:tRNA from 1 species
GGGAUUGUCGCUCAGUGGCUGAGCAUCUGUUUGGCAUGCAGAUGGUCCCAGGUUCAAGCCUCAGCAUCUCCA